rnacentral:lncRNA from 1 species
UGAACAAUGGCCCGGGGAGGCUGGAAAAUGUCCCCGUUUCCCGGGGCUGGCGCCGGGAGCCGCGCAGGGCUGGGCAGCCCCUCGGGGGGCUCCUGUCCCCCCGUCCCCUCCCUGUCCCCAGCGGUGACACCCGCGGGGUGACCUCGGCCUGCGGGGACGGGUCACAUCUCCCGCAGGGCGAGUGGCACUUCAGGGAGGAGCGGCUGUCCCCAAAGCCGCGUCCCCGAGCCUCUGAGGAAGGCCAGGCUGGAGGCCAAUGUCACCGCGCUGGGGGACGAGCUGGUGGCGCUGCGGCGCGAGCGGGCCCAGCUGGCCGGUGACAAAGUGGCCCUGCAAGGUGAGCCCUGUCCCCUGC